GGAGGAUCCGAGCGUUAUCCGGUUUUAUUGGGCGUAAAGCGAGCGCAGGCGGUUGCUUAGGUCUGAUGUGAAAGCCUUCGGCUUAACCGAAGAAGUGCAUCGGAAACCGGGCGACUUGAGUGCAGAAGAGGACAGUGGAACUCCAUGUGUAGCGGUGGAAUGCGUAGAUAUAUGGAAGAACACCAGUGGCGAAGGCGGCUGUCUGGUCUGCAACUGACGCUGAGGCUCGAAAGCAUGGGUAGCAA
rnacentral:rRNA from 1 species